rnacentral:tRNA from 1 species
CCCCCGAUAGCUCAGCUGGAAGAGCGCGAGACUGUAAAUCUUGAGGUCGCUGGUUCGAUCCCGGCUCGGGGGA